rnacentral:misc_RNA from 1 species
UCAUUUAGAGGAAGGAGAAGUCGUAACAAGGUUUCCGUAGGUGAACCUGCGGAAGGAUCAUUGUCGAUGCCUUACAAAUAGUCCAACUUGUGAACCUGUUUGACUACUUAGGGUUGGCUUGAGGUGCUUUGGCACCUUAACCUCCCUCGUGCUAGGAGGGGCCCCCACAUAGUGCGUUCCUCUCUUAGCCAAACAUAACCCCCGGCGCUGAAUGCGCCAAGGAAUUGAAAUUCGUUCAUUGUGCCCUCGUUGACCCGGAAACGGUGCUCGUGCGGGUGGUGCCUUGACGUGUGAUAUAGAAUGACUCUCGGCAACGGAUAUCUAGGCUCUUGCAUCGAUGAAGAACGUAGCGAAAUGCGAUACUUGGUGUGAAUUGCAGAAUCCCGUGAACCAUCGAGUCUUUGAACGCAAGUUGCGCCUGAAGCCAUUAGGUUGAGGGCACGUCUGCCUGGGUGUCACAGAUUGCUGCCCAAUCCCAAUUACCUAAUGAUGGGUACUAAUUGGGUAGGGUGAAUGCUGGCUUCCCGUGAGCACUGUUGUCUCUCGGUUGGUUGAAAAUGGAGUGCAUGAUAGGGUGUGCCAUGAUAGAUGGUGGUUGAGUGAUGCUCGAGACCAAUCAUGCGUGACCCUAUUGAACUUGGCCUCUGUAACCCACAUGUGUCUUUGGACGCUCAUGAUGAGACCUCAGGUCAGGCGGGGCUACCCGCUGAGUUUAAGC